rnacentral:rRNA from 1 species
UAGGGAAUCUUCGGCAAUGGACGGAAGUCUGACCGAGCAACGCCGCGUGAGUGAAGAAGGUUUUCGGAUCGUAAAGCUCUGUUGUAAGAGAAGAACGAGUGUGAGAGUGGAAAGUUCACACUGUGACGGUAUCUUACCAGAAAGGGACGGCUAACUACGUGCCAGCAGCCGCGGUAAUACGUAGGUCCCGAGCGUUGUCCGGAUUUAUUGGGCGUAAAGCGAGCGCAGGCGGUUAGAUAAGUCUGAAGUUAAAGGCUGUGGCUUAACCAUAGUAGGCUUUGGAAACUGUUUAACUUGAGUGCAAGAGGGGAGAGUGGAAUUCCAUGUGUAGCGGUGAAAUGCGUAGAUAUAUGGAGGAACACCGGUGGCGAAAGCGGCUCUCUGGCUUGUAACUGACGCUGAGGCUCGAAAGCGUGGGGAGCGGGAUUAGAUACCCUGGUAGUCCACGCUGUAAACGAUGAGUGCUAGGUGUUAGACCCUUUCCGGGGUUUAGUGCCGUAGCUAACGCAUUAAGCACUCCGCCUGGGGAGUACGACCGCAAGGUUG